rnacentral:rRNA from 1 species
GAUGAACGCUGGCGGCGUGCCUAAUACAUGCAAGUCGAGCGAACGGACGAGAAGCUUGCUUCUCUGAUGUUAGCGGCGGACGGGUGAGUAACACGUGGAUAACCUACCUAUAAGACUGGGAUAACUUCGGGAAACCGGAGCUAAUACCGGAUAAUAUUUUGAACCGCAUGGUUCAAAAGUGAAAGACGGUCUUGCUGUCACUUAUAGAUGGAUCCGCGCUGCAUUAGCUAGUUGGUAAGGUAACGGCUUACCAAGGCAACGAUGCAUAGCCGACCUGAGAGGGUGAUCGGCCACACUGGAACUGAGACACGGUCCAGACUCCUACGGGAGGCAGCAGUAGGGAAUCUUCCGCAAUGGGCGAAAGCCUGACGGAGCAACGCCGCGUGAGUGAUGAAGGUCUUCGGAUCGUAAAACUCUGUUAUUAGGGAAGAACAUAUGUGUAAGUAACUGUGCACACCUUGACGGUACCUAAUCAGAAAGCCACGGCUAACUACGUGCCAGCAGCCGCGGUAAUACGUAGGUGGCAAGCGUUAUCCGGAAAUAUUGGGCGUAAAGCGCGCGUAGGCGGUUUUUUAAGUCUGAUGUGAAAGCCCACGGCUCAACCGUGGAGGGUCAUUGGAAACUGGAAAACUUGAGUGCAGAAGAGGAAAGUGGAAUUCCAUGUGUAGCGGUGAAAUGCGCAGAGAUAUGGAGGAACACCAGUGGCGAAGGCGACUUUCUGGUCUGUAACUGACGCUGAUGCGCGAAAGCGUGGGGAUCAAACAGGAUUAGAUACCCUGGUAGUCCACGCCGUAAACGAUGAGUGCUAAGUGUUAGGGGGUUUCCGCCCCUUAGUGCUGCAGCUAACGCAUUAAGCACUCCGCCUGGGGAGUACGACCGCAAGGUUGAAACUCAAAGGAAUUGACGGGGACCCGCACAAGCGGUGGAGCAUGUGGUUUAAUUCGAAGCAACGCGAAGAACCUUACCAAAUCUUGACAUCCUUUGACAACUCUAGAGAUAGAGCCUUCCCCUUCGGGGGACAAAGUGACAGGUGGUGCAUGGUUGUCGUCAGCUCGUGUCGUGAGAUGUUGGGUUAAGUCCCGCAACGAGCGCAACCCUUAAGCUUAGUUGCCAUCAUUAAGUUGGGCACUCUAAGUUGACUGCCGGUGACAAACCGGAGGAAGGUGGGGAUGACGUCAAAUCAUCAUGCCCCUUAUGAUUUGGGCUACACACGUGCUACAAUGGACAAUACAAAGGGCAGCGAAACCGCGAGGUCAAGCAAAUCCCAUAAAGUUGUUCUCAGUUCGGAUUGUAGUCUGCAACUCGACUACAUGAAGCUGGAAUCGCUAGUAAUCGUAGAUCAGCAUGCUACGGUGAAUACGUUCCCGGGUCU